UACGUAGGGACCGAGCGUUGUCCGGAAUCAUUGGGUGUAAAGAGCGUGUAGGCGGCCAACUAAGUCCUGCGUGAAAUCUCGGGGCUCAACCCCGAGCGGUCGUGGGAAACUGGUUGGCUAGAGUGCGGGAGAGGAGAGUGGAAUUCCUGGUGUAGCGGUGAAAUGCGCAGAUAUCAGGAAGAACACCCGUGGCGAAGGCGGCUCUCUGGAACGCAACUGACGCUGAGACGCGAAAGCGUGGGGAGCAAACAGG
rnacentral:rRNA from 1 species